rnacentral:tRNA from 1 species
GCUGUUAUAGCUCAGAUGGUAGAGCGCAUCCUUGGUAAGGAUGAGGUCACCGGUUCAAUUCCGGUUAACAGCUCCA